rnacentral:ribozyme from 14 species
AAGAAAAAAGAAGAAAAAAAAGAAGAAAAAAAAAAAACAUCAGCAGGAGGAACAGGUGCCAAAGUGUAUAUAGAGAAGAAUCAGCAGUGUUUUUUUUUUUUUUUUUU